rnacentral:tRNA from 1 species
GGCCGCGCUGGGCUGGUUUGCCUGGCGCGUGUGGCUGGCGCCCAAGCCGGCGCCGAAGCCGCCCGCCGCGGUGGUGGUGACCACCGCGCUGGUGC